rnacentral:lncRNA from 1 species
CCCAGCUCCAGAGCAAGGUUGAAGGAAAAAAAAAGAAAGACAAAUUCUUUUACUGUUACUCCUUUCCCAGGCUUCUUAAGCAUGAUUAUGUUUUACAAAUGUCUGUAUUUAGCCACUUGUUGUUUUUCUUUCAAUGCAGCUACAAGGCCACCAGCUAUGCAAGGCCACAAGUUAUGCUAUGCUAUAGAUUAUGUGACCUAUCAUAUUUGAUAAACGUUUGGGUUUAUUUAUUGUAAGUCUGCUUAUAAAAACCUGUCUCUGUCUUUGUUUAAUGCUCAGCUUUUUGGAUGUGAGUCCACUGAGCUGGCGUGUACCUACAAUGAACAAUCCUUCUGUACUCUCAUAUCAGUCUCUCUGGUCCUCAGUUUCCUGCAACAUUUUUGGUGACCACAAAAGGACCAGAGACAGCAGGUUUACUGUUUCCUUUGGCUCUGGGCGCUGGAGCCCUGGGCCUCAGGAGACCUGUGACCCCAGGUACCACUGGAAGAACUUCAGCCCGGAGAGGAAAUCAGCUCUCCCCUGACCCGGCGCCCCUACCCAGCAGUGCAAUGGAACCUGAAAGGAGCUACAGGACAAUUUCAGAAACAGCACCCUUCAGGAACUGCGAUGUUGCAGCAAUGUAGACACAGAGAGAAAGUCCUCACCAGACACAGACUCUGCUGGAACCUUAAUCUUCAACUUCCCAGCCUCCAGAACUGUGAGAGAAUAAAUUUUGGGGCUGGGUUGCCCAGGGCCUUGGGGGACAACCCCUGCCCCAGUGUGUCUAAAAGGUGAGACAUG